CUCCCUUCCUGCUUCUCUAGCAUUUGUGCCUUCAUCUAAAAAGCCUAUUCUGCCUGCAUACUGAUUCGCUAACACAAAUUUUUCUCACCAACAGGUUAGGAAGAAUCUGCACCGUGAGCCAGUCCGCCGCCCCGAGGGCUCCGGAAGCAGCGGGUGCUCGGCCCACGUCGCCUGCGAGGCCCCGCACUGGGAGCAGUCGAAGGAGGAGUCUUUAUUAUUUCUAUUUCACCUAUGAUGAAUAUGAUCCUCAGUCGGCCAAGGUCACAAAGCUUUUAAGAGUGUAUGUGAAAGCUUGCGUACAAAAAGAAGGGGCAACAACUAUACAGGAAGGAGAACAGAUCAAAUAUGAUAUCAGGAAAUACAGAAGACUAAAUAUACCCAUUGUUCCUGCUGCGAAAAAGAUGGAAUAUGAUUAAGCUCUCAUACCACCCAGGUCCACACCAGACUCAGCUCACCCAGGAAUGAGUCACUGCUCUGAUGGACUGAUUGGCCUGGGCUGAGCCAAAGCAGUGAUUAAAUAGCUUAGAGCUUUGGAGCUGAAGGGAACCUCUGCACUAAUUCUCCUUCAUGCUUAAACGAAAGCUGAUUCUGGAAGAUAUCCAGUGAUGGCUGGGAUUUAGGAGGAUGGUCUUCUGCAAACCAACCACAGGAACUGAUGCCAACAGGCUCUUCACUGAGCAGAUGAAGUGCGGGCUGGGGAGCUCUUCGGCUAAUUUGUUUUCCAUGUAUAGUGAAUGUUUUCAAACAUAAAUUAUUAAUUGUACUUUAAAAGUUGACUGUAUAAAAUGAAUUUUCAGUUAAUCUACACUCCAAAUGGUCUGCAACAAAUAAACAACUAAAAUACCAAACAUUUCUUUACUCAACAUAUGACUAAGUUAUUCCUUUAAAUAAAACAUUACUCUUUUUUUUUUCUUGGACUCUGUAUUAUAAUACUUAACAUUUAUUUUUCCCAUGGGAAAACAUUAUUGUAAUGAUCCAGAAAGAUCCUUUCUAAUCUACUCAAAAUAGUAUAUUCUAAAUUAAUUGGCUUAGUAGUUUACGGUGGAUGCUGGUUAGUUUCAUAGGUUGAACUUUGUGAUGCUGCUGCCAGGGUCACUGGCUUACGUUCUGUGUAUCAAGGUGAGCCAUAGAUAUCCAUGCACCGCAUGUCCCGGUUACCCAUAGUAUCCAUGCAUCGCAUGUCCAUGUUAGCCAUAGAUAUCCGUGCACUGCAUGUCUAGGUGAGACAUAGAUAUACAUGCAUCGCAUGUCCAGGUUACCCAUAGAUACCCAUGCACCUCAUGUCCAUGUGAGCCAUAGAUACCCAUGCACCGUAUGUCCAGGUGAGCCAUAGAUAUCCAUGCACUGCAUGUUCAGGUGAGCCAUAGAUAUCCAUGCACCUCAUGUCCAGCUUAUCCAUAGAUAUCCAUGCACUGUAUGUCCAGGUGACCCAUAGAUAUUCAUGCACAGCAUGUUCAGGUGAGCCGUAGAUAUCUAUGCACUGCAUGUCCGGGUUACCCAUAGGUAUCCAUGCACUGCAUGUCCGGGUUACCCAUAGAUAUCCGUGCACUGCAUGUCCAGGUGAGCCAUAGAUAUGCAUGCACUGCAUGUUCAGGUGAGCCAUAGAUAUCCAUGCACCUCAUGUCCAGCUUAUCCAUAGAUAUCCAUGCACUGCAUGUCCAGGUGACCCAUAGAUAUUCAUGCACAGCAUGUUCAGGUGAGCCGUAGAUAUCUAUGCACUGCAUGUCCGGGUUACCCAUAGGUAUCCAUGCACUGCAUGUCCAAGUGAGCCAUAGAUAUCCAUGCACUGCAUGUCCAGGUGAGCCAUAGAUAUACAUGCACCGCAUGGCCAGGUUACCCAUAGAUAUCCAAGCACCGCACGUCCAGGUGAGCCAUAGAUAUCUAUGCACUGCAUGUCCAGGUGAGCCAUAGAUAUCCAUGCACCGCACGUUCAGGUGAGCCAUAGAUAUCCAUGCACUGCAUAUCCGGGUUACCCAUAGCAUAUCCGGGUUACCCAUAGCACGUCCGGGUUACCCAUAGAUAUCCACGCACCGCACGUUCAGGCGACCCAUAGAUAUCCACGCACCGAUGUUCAGGUGAGCCAUAGACAUCCACACACCGCACGGCCGGGUUACCCGUAGAUACCCACGCACCGCACGUCCGGGUUACCCGUAGAUACCCACGCAUCGCACGUCCGGGUUACCCAUAGAUACCCACGCACCGCACGCCCGGGUUACCCGUAGAUGUCCAAGCACCGCACGCCCGGGUUACCCGUAGAUGUCCAAGCACCGCACGCCCGGGUUACCUGUAGAUGUCCAUGCACCGUACGUCCGGGUUAUCCGUAGAUGUCCAUGCACCACAUGUCCAGAUUAUCCAUAGAUAUCCAUGCACUGCAUGCCCAAGUUACUCGUAGAUAUCCAUGCACUGCAUGUCCAGGUUACCGGUAGAUAUCCAUGCACCACAUAUUCAGGUGAGCCAUAGAUAUCCAUGCACUGCAUGUCCAAGUUACUCGUAGAUAUCCAUGCACUGCAUGUCCAGGUUACCCGUAGAUAUCCAUGCACCACAUAUUCAGGUGAGCCAUAGAUAUCCAUGCACUGCAUGUCCAAGUUAUUCGUAGAUAUCCAUACACUGCAUGUCCAGGUUACCCGUAGAUAUCCAUGCACCACAUAUUCAGGUGAGCCAUAGAUAUCCAUGCACUGCAUGUCCUGGGUUAUCCAUAGGUAUCCAUGUACUGCAUGUCUAGGUUAUCCAUCAAUAACUACGCAUUGCAUAUGCAGCUAUUCAUAGAGAAAAUUUUAGUUCCAUCCCCUCAUUUGUGUGCAAUUUCACAUCUGAUAAUGAAUUUUAACAUGUCUACCACCACUUAGAUAUAUUAAAUAUGUGAGAAGGACUUGAUUCAAUCCAUCAUCACUGUGAAACACUGCUCAAAGUGAAUACAUUUGGGAGAGUUAUGAGGACAAAAUGCAUUUACGAACAAAGUGACUAAAAUACAUAGAUGGAUCCUGGACUUCUGUAAGUUUAUAAGCAAAAACAGAUUAACUAACUGACUUUCCAUGCAGACUAUCUAUUGUUAUCACGGUGAAUAAGGUCAUUAAAAAUGCAUUAAACAAGUGGAAUUUCAUUUUCAGUUAUAAGGUAACAGAAAAUGUAUUUCUUCUUCUAGUAGAAAUAGGACUAUAAUAAAAGAAACAGUUCAUCAUGCUUAAAAUCUGCUGCUCUGAUACUGUGUUCCUCUCAUGCAUUCAUGGUUUCUGUUUCUCCAAUUUGAUUCAAGGAGCCUUGAGCAGUGAGCUCAGUAAUGAUAAACACAGAGUUGAAUUCAGAGCAGCGUUCAUACUCUGGAAUACACAUUCUAGCUGUCUCAUUUGAAAAAUGUGUAGCUCUCCUGAGCCUUGGCUUUCUCAUUUGGUAAAGCAGUUUGUAAGCCAUAAGGUGCUUUUAAAAGAAAGGAGUAGUACUCCCUGAAGUCCCUCAUCAUGUCUAGCACAAUCCCAAACACUUGGUAGAUGAAGACACAUUGCUAAACCACCUUAUUCAUCCUUUCCAACUGCAUAUUUAAAAUUUGAAAUGGCCUUAUGUUUAUCUUUAAAAAAUCACAAGUAGAUGUUAUAUCAUUGGCUAACAUGAAGAGUAUAAGAUAGAAUAAUAAGAAAGUUUAAAGAAAAAUGUAUUUCAAUAGUUAAUGGAAAUUAAAUAUUUAUUUUAUUUACUGUAUUCCUAUAAAGUUUUUAAAGCCUUAUGAACACUAUUUUACUUUUUGUGACACAAUGUUUGGACAACCCUAAAGAACUAAAAAAAAAAAAAAAAAACAAAAAAAAAAACCCUCAGGAAAUCCAAUGACGUUUUCAAUAAAAUUUACAAACAGGUUUUCUUCUCUUCUGGUGUCAUUCAGCACCAUAUAGUUUCUUUUCCAUUACAUACAGCUGUAUCGCAAAUGAUUUUU
rnacentral:lncRNA from 10 species